GCCUGGAAUGCCAGUUUUCAAGUGUGAGCUUUCACUCCUAGGCCAUGGGGGCCAACAGAGACUUGAUAGCUUUUAUUAUGACAAUUGAAACCAGAGGCCCCAAUAUUCUGUGAAAGGAUAAUUUUCAAAGACUGGUUUAAAAAAAAAAACUCUUAUACAGAUAUAAAAAUGAACACAUCUUAAAGAUUUUACUUAGCUAAUUAAUGAGAAAACUAUGAAAAUGGCAAUCAGUUAAAAGGAGAACAGAUACAUUUAUAGACACAUUUUAGAAAUAUUGAAAUGAAUGUUCAAAGGGAUGCAAAACUGGCUUUUCCAUAGAGGGGAGGGUCAUCUCUCCUCUGCACAGAAUUUAUUUACAUGUCUCUGAGCAAGAACGAUUUUGCAUUGCUAUCAGUUAUGUAUAAGAUACAGAGUGGCAAAUUAUCUUCCAUAGAAUCAGAAUUAGAUAACCCAGACCAGUGCGUUCUAAGCAAUGCAUAGUUUUUCAUCAAAGUACACAUUUUUCAGUUCUAUUGGCCAAGUGGGUUUUCUGU
rnacentral:lncRNA from 1 species